CGAGCGCAACCCCUGCAUCCAGUUGCCAUCGGGCGAGCCGGGCACUCUGGAGGGACUGCCGGCGACAAGCCGGAGGAAGUGGGGAUGACGUCAAGUCAUCAUGGCCCUUAUGUCCAGGGCGACACACGUGCUACAAUGGCCGGCACAGCGGGAAGCGGAGGGGCGACCCUGAGCGGAUCCCUUGAAAGCCGGUCCCAGUUCGGAUUGCAGUCUGCAACUCGACUGCAUGAAGUUGGAAUCGCUAGUAAUCGCGGAUCAGCCAAGCCGCGGUGAAUACGUUCCCGGGCCUU
rnacentral:rRNA from 1 species